AUACCACGGAGAGUUUGAUCCUGGCUCAGGAUGAACGCUGGCGGUAUGCUUAACACAUGCAAGUCGAACGAAAGUUUGUAAAAACUUUAGUGGCGGACGGGUGAGUAACACGUGAGAAUCUACCUUUAGGAAAGGCAUAACAGUUGGAAACGACUGCUAAAGCCUCAUAUGCUGCAAAGUGAAAAAGAGAAAUCUGCCUAAAGAUGAGCUCGCGCCUGAUUAGCUAGUUGGUAAGGUAACUGCUUACCAAGGCAACGAUCAGUAGCUGGUUUGAGAGGACGACCAGCCACACUGGGACUGAGACACGGCCCAGACUCCUACGGGAGGCAGCAGUGGGGAAUUUUCCGCAAUGGGCGAAAGCCUGACGGAGCAAUACCGCGUGAGGGAUGAAGGCUCGUGGGUUGUAAACCUCUUUUCUUAGGGAAGAAGAUCUGACGGUACCUAAAGAAUAAGCAUCGGCUAACUCCGUGCCAGCAGCCGCGGUAAUACGGAGGAUGCAAGCGUUAUCCGGAAUCACUGGGCGUAAAGCGUCUGUAGGUUGCUUAAUAAGUCUGCUGUUAAAGAUUGGGGCUUAACCCCAAAGCAGCAGUGGAAACUGUUAAGCUAGAGUAUGGUAAGGGUAAAGGGAAUUC
rnacentral:rRNA from 1 species